rnacentral:rRNA from 1 species
AAGCAGCGGAGCGUGUGGUUUAAUUCGAUGCUACACGAAGAACCUUACCAGGUUUGACAUGCAAGUGGUAGGAAACGUGAAAAGGACGACCCUUCGGGAGCUUGCACAGGUGCUGCACGGCUGUCGUCAGCUCGUGUCGUGAGAUGUUCGGUUAAGUCCGCUAACGAGCGCAACCCUCACUGUGUGUUAUAUGUGUCACACGGGACUGCCGGUUUAAGCCGGAGGAAGGUGGGAUGACGUCAAGUCAGCAUGGCCUUUAUAUCCUGGGCUACACACACGCUACAAUGGUCGGUACAAUAGGUUGCCAAGCCGCGAGGCGGAGCCAAUCCAAAAAAGCCGGCCUCAGUUCAGAUUGUAGGCUGCAACUCGCCUGCAUGAAGAUGGAGUUGCUAGUAACCGCAGGUCAGCAAUACUGCGGUGAAUACGUUCCCGGGUCUU